UAGGAGCAGGGUGCGGGAUGGAUGGAGGAGGCUACUGCAGUGUUUAGAGUACUUGUCUUUGGUCACAGACAAGCCAAGAAUCUGCAUUUCUACCUAGUUCUAGUGUGCUUUGUACAGGAACUCUGAGAACCUCUGUCAGAGCUGUAAGCACCUGCUAUCAUUUAAAUGGUGAAGCUGAAAGAACACUACAGCUAUCAAGAAGCAGCUCUAUAUAUGCCCUGAUGAUAUAUUAAAAUUAAAUUAAUAAAUAUAU